rnacentral:rRNA from 1 species
AUUGAACGCUGGCGGCAGGCCUAACACAUGCAAGUCGAGCGGAUGAAGGGAGCUUGCUCCUGGAUUCAGCGGCGGACGGGUGAGUAAUGCCUAGGAAUCUGCCUGGUAGUGGGGGAUAACGUCCGGAAACGGGCGCUAAUACCGCAUACGUCCUGAGGGAGAAAGUGGGGGAUCUUCGGACAUCACGCUAUCAGAUGAGCCUAGGUCGGAUUAGCUAGUUGGUGGGGUAAAGGCCUACCAAGGCGACGAUCCGUAACUGGUCUGAGAGGAUGAUCAGUCACCCUGGAACUGAGACACGGUCCAGACUCCUACGGGAGGGAGCAGUGGGGAAUGUUGGACAAUGGGCGAAAGCCUGACCCAGCCGUGCCGCGUGUGUGACGAAGGUCUUCGGAUUGUAAAGCACUUCAAGUGGGUAGGAAGGGCAGUAAGUUAAGACCUUGCUGUUGUGACGUUACCAACAGAAGAAGCACCGGCUAACUUCGUG